UACGGAGGGUGCGAGCGUUGUCCGGAAUCACUGGGCGUAAAGGGCGCGUAGGCGGCCUGGUAAGUAGGGGGUGAAAUCCUGCGGCUCAACCGCAGGGCUGCCUUCUAAACUGUCAGGCUGGAGCACAGUAGAGGCAGGUGGAAUUCCCGGUGUAGCGGUGGAAUGCGUAGAGAUCGGGAGGAACACCGGUGGCGAAGGCGGCGACCUGGGUCGAUACUGACGCUGAGGUGCGAAAGCGUGGGGAGCAAACAGG
rnacentral:rRNA from 1 species